UAGGGGGGAGCUUGUAUUACAGGCUGAGAGGGAGGUGCGACCUCCGACCCAUGUACCUGAUUUGGGUAAUGCCAACGUAGGGAAGAACUU
rnacentral:ncRNA from 1 species